rnacentral:rRNA from 1 species
GACGAACCGUGCGAACGUUAUUCGGAAUCACUGGGCUUAAAAGCGCGUGUAGGCGGAUGGGUGCGUCGGCUUCUGAAAAGCCCCCGGCUCAACCGGGGAAAGUGGGGGCCGAAACGACCCGGUCUGGAGGGGACGUAGGGGGGAUCUGGGGACUUCCGGUGGAGCGGUGAAAUGCGUUGAGAUCGGAAGGAACGCCCGUGGCGAAAGCGAGAUCCUGGACGUCUUCUGGACGCUGAGACGCGAAAGCUAGGGGGAAGCAAACGGGG